rfam:Hordeum vulgare subsp. vulgare, WGS project CAJW01000000 data, contig: morex_contig_1564416
CUAAUACUCCCUCCGUCCAGAAUUACUUAUCAUAAAAAUAGAUAAAAAUGGAUGUAUCUACUAAAAUACAUCUAGAUACAUUCAUUCCUCUGAGAAGUAUUUCUAGACGGAGGGAGUAUUAU